GACGAACGCUGGCGGCGUGCCUAACACAUGCAAGUCGAACGGAAAGGCCCUGCUUUUGUGGGGUGCUCGAGUGGCGAACGCGUGAGUAACACGUGAGUAACCUGCCCUUGUCUUUGGGAUAACUUCAGGAAACUGGGGCUAAUAUCGGAUAGGAGCUCCUGCUGCAUGGUGGGGGUUGGAAAGUUUCGGCGGUUGUGGAUGGAUUCGCGGCUUACGAGCUGGUUGGUGGGGUAGGGGUUGACAAGGCCUUUGAAGGGUAGCCGGCAUUGGAGCGUGGCCGGCCACAAUGGGACUACGGUACGGACCAGACUCCUACAGGAGGCAGCGGUGGGAAAUAUUGCACAAUGAGCCGGAGCCUGUGGCGGCAGCGCCGCGUGCGUGAUGACGGCCUUCGGGUUAUAAACCGCUUUCGCCUGUGACGAAGCGUGAGUGACGGUAAUGAGUAAAGAAGCACCGGCUAACUACGUG
rnacentral:rRNA from 1 species